UACGUAGGUGGCAAGUGUUGUUCGGAAUUAUUGGGCGUAAAGCGCACGCAGGCGGUUGGUUAAGUCAGAUGUGAAAUCCCCGGGCUCAACCCGGGAACUGCAUUUGAAACUGGCCAGCUUGAGUCUCGUAGAGGGAGGUAGAAUUCCAGGUGUAGCGGUGAAAUGCGUAGAGAUCUGGAGGAAUACCGGUGGCGAAGGCGGCCUCCUGGGCGAAGACUGACGCUCAGGUGCGAAAGCGUGGGGAGCAAACAGG
rnacentral:rRNA from 1 species